GUCUGUAGCUGUGUCGCCGGCGGCUGCGGGGCCUCUGGGUUGCUUUCCCUCUCGCUCCCGAGUGCCGCGAGUUCCAGGCGGUCCCCGGGAUCGCCAGCGGCACAGGGCCCCAGCCCUUCGCCCGCGCAUCGGGAUGGGGGUCCUAGCCGGUGGGAGCUGCCUGUCCCUCGAGCGCCAGCUACCCGCGUUGUCCAGCGCUCCGGCCUCGGCCCGGCCCUCCUGCCUCCUGGCUGUUAGGUUCUGAAUGUUCCGGAAAUGCCACGUGACCGCGAGGGCGCUUGGGCUUGGGCUGGACAGGCCGGGGAUCUCACCGCGGCGGGCCCGGCUGUCCCGCUUGGGCGUCCUCAGUGGAACCGCACACCCUUUCUCAGCGCGCCGGUCGUUUGGUCCUGUAGGGCCGAGGGGAAUUCGUGCGGUGUUGAGCACGCGGGAAGCACUUAACGAAAGGGAGCUGCCCCUCAGCCCUCGUGAGUCCGAUGUAAAGGAGUGAAGGAGACGAAGAACUGAAUCAGUAGUUGACCGCCUGUGAGCUGGCGAGCUGUGCCCUGGUAGGGCCUUAAAUCCCAGCCCCAGAAGUCGGAGGCAGGGCAGGCACCCCAAAGCGUGGAAGAGAUGCACCUGCGGAGUGAAAAUGCUGCUAUUGCUUCUAGGGUCAGCCUUGGUUCCUGGAACAAAGGAGCCGCAUGACUCGGGUCUGGCGAUGAUGUUGGGCUCUGCAGUGUCCUCAUCCUUCCCCCUCUCUGGGUAAUGAUAUCUUCCCAGGGUUUAAAGUGUGUCCUCUCUGCCAGUAGCUUGUCUCCACAGCCUCAUCUUUAAUUCCACCUGCCCCACCCAUUUUGGACACUGCAGCCAAGUUGCAGCAGAUCCGCAAACCUGGUAAUCCCUCACUUGAAAGUGCUGGAGGCUUUAGGAUGGGGUUCAGGGCCUGUGCAAUCUAACCGCCUGCUUUUUUUUUUUUUUUUUUUUUUUUUUUUUUGAGACGGAGUCGAAUCUCACUGUCUCCCAGGCUGGAGUGCAGUGGCGCCAUCACAGCUCAUUGCAGCCUCAACCUCCUGAGCUCAAGCCAUCCUCCCACCUCAGCCUCCCAAGUACCUGGGGUUACAGGCAAGCACCAUUACGCCUAGCUAAUUUUUCUGGGUUUUUUUUUUUUGUUUUUUUUUUUGUAUAGAUGGAUUUCGCCAUGUUGUCCAGGCUGGUCUUAAACUCUCGCUCUGUCUCCCAGGCUAGAGUGCAGUGGGGCAAUCUCGGCUCCCUGCAACCUCUGCCUCCUGGGUUCAAGCAAUUAUCCUGCCUCAGCCUACCAGUUAGCUGGGAUUACAUGUGUGCGCCACCGCGCCCGGCUAAUUUUUUUAUUUUUAGUAGAGGCGGGGUUUCACCAUGUUGACCAGGCUGGUCUCAAGACUACUGACCUCAAGUGAUCCCCCCCCCCCCCCGCCUCGGCCUCCCAAAGUGCUGGGAUUACAGACGUGAGCCACCGUGCCCAGCGGUUUUGCAUUUUCAAUUGUGGGGCACGGUGAGAAAAGACUUGAAGAAAGCAAGGGAGUGAGAUCCAUGGAAAUGUAGGGGGGAACCUUGCAGGCCUAUGGAACAGCCAGUGCAAAGGGCCUGGGGUGGGAGCUGCCUCAGGGUAGCCAGGAUGGCAGGAGGCACAGCUGCCGAGAGGAAGCAGGGGCCAGGUCCUGCAAGGUUAGAGGCCAUUGCUACUCCUGAACACAUUGGCAGGUUUUGAGCAGAGAAGUGACAUGAUUUUAGUUUUCUCAGGAUCCCUCUGGCUGCUGUGUGGAGGAAGAGGGGAGGGUGAGAGCAGGGAUACCUCUUAGGAGGCUGUGGUAGUAAUCCCAGGGAGCCAGGAUGGGAGCAGAGGAGGGGACAGGAAUUGGAUUCUGGAUGCAUUUUGGAGGGAGCAUGAAGGAAAGCGGGGUCAAAGGUUCCUCUGAGGCCUUGGCUGCCUCUCUUAUUCAUCUACAUCCAUUCUGUCAAGGACACCUUUCAUUUCUUCUUGGCACUGUCUCAAGGCCACCACGCUGCUGCCCACCUGACCAGCAGUGGCCUUUCCAGGCCUUCCAUCUUCUCCCCAGCAGCUUAUCUCUGCGUAGCCAGGUCCCAUUUCCCACACACCUUUUUUUAAAGUGUGUUGCACUGCUCUGGGUGCAGGACUGUAGCAGUGACCAGGGCAGCUCCAGAUGAAGCUUCUGCUCACAGGAACCUUUUCUACUGAAACAGAUGAUACCUAAACUCUCAGCUGUGUGACUUUAAGCAACUUGCACAACCUCUCUGUACUUCAGUUGCCUCCAUCUUCAAAUGGGGAUUAAAAAGUGUUGACAUCAUAGUGGUUGUGAGGAUUACAUGAUUUGAUAGUUUAUAAAGCACUUAGAACUUGUGAAGAAGAGUGCCUGGGGAUUGCCUAAGGUCAGGAGUUCAAGACCAGCCUGGCCAACAUGGAGAAACCUCAUCUCUGCUAAAAAUACAAAAACUAACCACGCAUGGUAGUGCACACCUCUAGUCCCAGCUACUUGGGGGGCUGAGGCAGGAGAAUCACUUGAACCUGGGAGGUGGAGAUUGCAGUGAGCCAAGAUUGCGCCACUGCACUCCAGCCUGGGCAACAGAGCAAGACUCGGUCUCCAAAGAAAAAAAAAGAACUGCCUGGCUACGGAAUAAGAACUACAUGGAGUUAUUAAAUCAAAAUCGGUGCACAAAUGAUAAUUCUUAAGAGUGAGUGCUACAGAGAACACAAAAGGCAAGGCACAGAGAGAUGACCUGGGAGGCAGGGAAGGAAAGCAUUCCCAGAGAGUCUCUUUCUGUCACCCGGUCUGGAGUGAAGUGGCGCAGUCUCAGCUCUCUGCAACCUCUGCCUCCCAGGUUCAAGCAAUUCUUCUGCCUCAGCCUCCCAAGUAGCUGGGAUUACAGGAAUGUCUCCCGCAGGGACCCUACCCUGGUGGCACAGGACGUCUCACACAGCACUGUCUGGGACAGCAAAAGGGAUGGAAACCACCUGAGUCCAACUAUGGAGGACACUGGAAAACACGAUGCUGCCUCCAUAGGAUGGGAUAUUGGCAAGUGUGAAGAAACAACAUUUGGUUCUGGAGGCUGCAAGCCCAGGUUCAAGGCAUCAGCAGGUGUGGUUUCCUCCGAGGCCUCUCCCCGUGGCUUGCAGAUGGCUGCCUUCUUCCUGCAUCCUCACGUGGUCCCUCCUCUGCACUCCAGCAUCCUUAAUGUCUCUUUGUGUGUCCAACUUUCCGCCCCCCCCCACCCCUUUUUUUUCUGAUGGAGUCCACCCAGACUGGAGUACAGUGGCGUGAUCUCAGCUCACUGCAACCUCCACUUCCUGGGCUCAAGUGAUUCCCCCGCUUCAGCCUCCCGAGUAGCUGGGAUUACAGGCAUGUGCCACCAUGCCUGGCUAAUUUUUGUAUUUUUAAUAGAGAUGGGAUUUCACCAUAUUGGCCAGGCUGGUCUCAAACUCCUGACCUCAAGUGAUCCACCCAUCUCGGCCUCCCAAAGUGUUGAGAUUACAGGUGUGAGCCACUGCGCCCAGCCCCGAACUUUCCUCUUAAAAGGAUAUCAGUCAGGCCAGGCGCAGUGGCUCAUACCUGUAAUCCCUGCACUUUGGGAGGUUGAGGCGGGUGGAUUACUUGAGGUCAGGAGUUGGAGACCAGCCUGGCCAACAUGGUGAAAUCCCGUGUCUACUAAAAAUACAAAAAUUAGCCGGGCGUGGUGGCAGGCGCCUGUAGUCCCAGCCACUCGGGAGGCUGAGGCAGGAGAAUUGCUUGAACCUGGGAGGCAGAGGUUGCAGUCAGCUGAGAUCAUGCUACUGCACUCCAGUCUGGGCAACAGAGCAAGACUCUAUCUCAAAAAAAAAAAAGACACCAGUCAGACUGGAGUAGGGCUCACCCUAAUGGCCUGAUUUUAACUUAAUUACCUCUUUUUUUUUCUUUCUUUUUUUGAGACAGAGUCUCGCUCUGUCACCCAGGCUUGAGUGCAGUGGCGCGAUCUCAGCUCACUGCAACCUCUGUCUCCCGGGUUCAAGUGAUUCUCCAGCCUUAGCCUCCCAAGUAGCUGGAAUUACAGGCGUGUACCACCACACCAAGCUAAUUUUUGUAUUUUUUAGUAGAGACAGGGUUUCUUCAUGUUGGUCAGGCUGGUCUCAAACUCCUGACCUCAGGUGAUACACCUGCCUCGGCCUCCCAAAGUGAUGGGAUUAUAGGUGUGAGCCACUGCACCCAGCCUUAAUUACCCCUUUAAAGGCCCUAUAUGCAAAUACAGUCACAUUCUGAGCUACUGGGGGUUAGGGCUUCAACAUAGGAAUUCAGGCAGACAUGAUUCAGCCCAUAACAAGGGCUUUCACUUUUUUUUUUUUUGUAGAAACAGGGUCUCACUAUGUUGCCCAGGCUACUCUUGAACUCCUGGGUUCAAGUGAUUCUCCAGCCUCAGCCCCCAGAUUAGCUGGGGCUACAGGUGCACCAGCACGCCCAGCUAAUAUUUUUACUUUCAUUUUUUUUAGACGGAGUUUAGCUAUCUUUGCCCAGGCUAGAGUGCAAUAGCGUGAUCUUGGCUCACCACAACCUCUGCCUUCCGGGUUCAAGAAUUCUCCUGCCUCAGCCUCCCAAGUAGCUGGGAUUACAGGCAUGCACCACCAUGACCGGCUAAUUUUGUAUUUUUAGUAGAGACGGGGUUUCUCCAUGUUGGUCAGGCUGCUCUCGAACUCCCGACCUCAGAUGGUCUGCCCGCCUCAGCUUCCCAAGGUGCUGGGAUUACAGGCGUGAGCCACCGCGCCCGGCCAAUAUUUUUUGUGGAGUCAGGGUCCUACUAUGUUUCCCAGGCUGGUCUUGAACUUCCAGGCUCAAGCGAUCCUCCUGCCUUGGCCUCCUAAAGUACUGUGAUUCCAGGCCUGAGCCACAGCACCCUGCUGGCUUUCACUUUUUACUUUAUUUCUAUGUUGUUAAAAUCUAUUACAAUAAACAUUACUUUUAAAGGA